UGGUAAUUAGUUUAAUACCAAAACAAAUGAUUUCGACUCAUUAAAUUAUGUAUCCAUCCAUAAUUACCAA
rnacentral:tRNA from 1 species